rnacentral:lncRNA from 1 species
GGGUCAAAUGCACCUAGGCUAGGUUGGGUCAAAGCGGGUCCUGAGGGAUGUUUAAACGCGGUGUUUUGGCUUUCUAUAAAAUCUAAAAUUUUCCCCUCUCCUUCAAUUUUCAGGUUUUCACUCGCUCUCUACAAACAAUUUUCGUCUCUCUCAAAGUCUCAAUAGCAUGACAACCGGCCACUAUCUUUCAAGCAGCCCAGAAACCGACGAUGAUCCAUCGCCAUCGCCAUCUCACGUUGGCUUUCCAGCGCUGGCCACUGAGCUCGUGCCAGAAACUCCUCUCCUUUUCUUUUCUGUUUAGCUUUCUAUCUACACCAAAAUACCAAAGCCAAAAGUCCACCGCCAGAAACUACCGAAUAUAGCCGUUGAUAACCAUCUCUCUGCCAUGCUUCGCCAUUCUCUAUUUGAACACUUCAAGACACAGACCAGACCCAAGACUAAAGCCUUUCAAAUCGUGACCUACCAUUGUUCACCACUUAAAAACUUUGCCCAAUUACUUUGCAAUUUCUGGGUUUGUGAACUGGUUUCAUUGUUGAUAGAAUUGGCUUGCUUUUGAUGAUGUACUGAUGUAGGUGGAUCAAUUUGGGAUUUCUUUUUUUUUGGUAUGGGUUUGGUUUUCUAGGUUUGAGUUUUUGAAGUUUCCGUUUGUGGUUGGGUUUUUCUAGGAUUGUGUUUGAUUGCUGGAUGUGGGUGUUUGUUGAAAUUGUUUGCUGGUUUGUGGCUUCUUCGAAGGGUAGUGGUGACAGGAGAAGGUCCUCCUCGUUGUUACUUCUUGCUUAAGCUUGCUUUUUUUGCUGGCGAUUGCUUCUUGCUUUUUAAUUGAUCAAUGCUUCUUUUCUGCUUGGAUUUCUUGGGAUUUAGGCUUGAAUGUGAUGAAUUGGAAAUUUGCUGUUGAUCUCUAAUGUCUGUGAACGAUGCUUCUUGUAUGUUCUCUUCUUCAAUUGCUCGAUUCUAUGCUGCAAAUUGCUUCUCUGCUGAAUCGCUAGUUGGCUCUUUGAUUGAAGCUAGUAGUCGUGCCAAAUUGUUCACCGCCCUUGUUGAAAAAUUUUUGCCACAAUGGCCUCUGAUUGUGAACUGGAUUGCUGUCGCCCCUUUUGGCAAAUUAAGGGUCUUUAAAUAGGGAUUCAAACCCUUUCAAUUUGGAAAAAAAAAUUAUUUCCACCGAAUUAGUAAUUCUUAUGUGAUAUUGUAAUCUUUCCUUUUUGCAUGAAAAUUAGGACCUAGGUAUUUUCAUAAUCAGUUCAACCAUUAAACCACAAAAUCGGAUCUUGGAUUCUCAAAAUUGAGAUCUUCAAUCAUUAAACCACAAAAUCGGAUAUUUGAUUCUCCAAAUUGAGAUCUUCAAAUUCCCACAUUUUUUCUGUUUCUGAAAAAAAAAAAAUUUUUCACUUUUCCUAUGACCAAAAACAAAAUCAAACCUAAACAACAAAAAUUAAAUUAAAAU